AUGGCGACCGGCGCACGGGUGAGUAACACGUAUCCAACCUGCCGAUAACUCGGGGAUAGCCUUUCGAAAGAAAGAUUAAUACCCGAUGGCAUAAUUAGACCGCAUGGUCUUAUUAUUAAAGAAUUUCGGUUAUCGAUGGGGAUGCGUUCCAUUAGGCAGUUGGUGAGGUAACGGCUCACCAGACCUUCGAUGGAUAGGGGUUCUGAGAGGAAGGUCCCCCACAUUGGAACUGAGACACGGUCCAA
rnacentral:rRNA from 1 species